GUCUACGGCCAUGCCACCCUGAACAAACCCGAUGCCUGAUCUCAGAAGCUAAGCAGGCUUGGGCUUGGUUAGUACUUGGAUGGGAGACCACCUUGGAAGACCAAGUGCUGUAGGCA
rnacentral:rRNA from 1 species